UAUAGUCGGGUAUGAGCAGGACAGGAGAGGGCUCCCCCACUACACGCACACUAGGUGUGUGGGGCAACUACCCGGUGAUGGUCAGGCAGUUGUUAACUGUUUCGCUACAGUAAUAAUUGGUCACAGCUGGCACCAGGGAAAGACAGUCACUUAACAGAUAGAAAACACCUGAAACUGGUGAGCAGCCGCUUCUGGAUCAGAUCUCAGCGUUGGAUGAGCAGGAGAACCAACGCAAGACCUCGGAAGUGUGCCAAGGAAAAGAGGAAGACAGUAACUUGACAGUGGAGAAACCUGGAAGCCAUUGCCUUAAUCAUGAAGAUUUGCAGACCUCCUAAAAGCUCAUGCAUGAACUCCAGGUCAGGACCCCUUGACCAGAAUGGAUAAAAGCACUUGCCGAAGUGCCUUUCCCAAGCUUUCUUAAACUCUGCCAAUAACCAGAAUUUCAGCUGAGGCUGGCACAUAUCACGUGAACUAAACGACGUGACCAUACAAAUGAAUGGAAUGGAAACUAACCCUGUAAAUUCAGAAUAAAACCACAUCCUGGAGGCAGAAAAACCAUCUUGUGCCCAUGAGGGAGAACACCAAACAAAUUUGUAUGACUUCCUUGAGUAGCUGCAUUUAUAUUGGACUGUCUACCUCCUGACUUCUUGUCCUGUAAGAAAAAUCAAUCUCAAUUUGAUUAAGCUACUGAGUUGGAUUUCUGUUCAUGCAACUGAAUGUCAUAUCUAAUAUAAUAUUGGAUCCACUUCUUAGAGAUUGACAAUGAACAUUGCAUAUUAAAGAUUUUAAGAAGCCCUAUUUAUAUCUGUUUAACCUAAUAUUAAAAUUAUUUGACUACCUAAUUCUUUUCCCUCAGAACACUUAGUAUAUUUCACUGAACACGAGUGUUUGGCAGAUGUUUGGAAAAUGAUAUUCUCUUUGUGUUGAUCCAGCAGGAAACAGUUGUGACAUUCUACCAAGAUAUAGAAUACAGGAGGAGUAACAUGUUAAGGGAGAAAGAAAAUGAGUUUAGUUUUGGAUGUGUUCAGAAUCCUUCCUCUUAACUGCUUUGCUAUAUAUACCACCUCUCUCAAAAAAGGAAAUGGAAAGUU